AAAGGUUUUGGAGAUGUAAUUCCGAAUAGGACUUAUAAAGGUUGCUCAACAUAUGAGCUUCCUAAGAUCUAUUACAAGGAAGAUACAGGGUUUGUAGGUUUUAGGUAAGGCAGAGGUAGGGCAAGGAUGAAUCGACCUUCCUUCCUUCGAAGCCUCGGGUGAGCUUUUUUCAAAGUCUUUUUCGAAGUUUCUCGAAUUUGGGAGAAAUGAAAGAAGCAGCUUGAAACUUGUGUUUAAGAAGCUUGAGUUUGCCUUGGGUAGGUGCCUCCUUAUAUAGAAGUGAUCAGGGGCAGUUUUAUAAUUUUUUAAAAUCUUGAACAGUAUCUGCCAUUUACUUUUUCACGUGCGAACAGUACUUGAACAGUUCUUCCUGUCAAGUGAACAGUGCUUGAACAGUGCUUCCUGUUGUCUUCACAUGCAAACAGUAAAAGUGAAUAGUGAUAGGUGAACAGUACCCUAUCAGAUUUUUUUUAAGAAAGAAAAGUAAAAAAUGCAAAAUUACAAAAAAUAAAAGCAGAAAAAGUAAAAUGGAUAAUUUUACCGUUAUAAAUUUCUUUUGCCUGUCUUAAAUCUUUUUUUUUUUUAAUAGUGUAGCUGAGAGAAAAAAGGUAGGAGUGGGGCCAAGUAAAGAUAAGUUGAGGGAAGGGAGAU
rnacentral:misc_RNA from 1 species